rfam:Candidatus Rokubacteria bacterium 13_1_20CM_4_70_14 13_1_20cm_4_scaffold_752, whole genome shotgun sequence.
CUACGGGUGAGAGUCCCGUCUGAGUAAGCGCCGAUGCGCUCAGUAGCAGGCCCCGGUCGUGGUGUGAGAGCGCCACGGCUGAGCGGGGCGUCAAGAGCCUCUACGGAGGGAGCGAGGGCGCGGGCCGCAACAUCA